rnacentral:rRNA from 1 species
GGUUUACCUGUGUGACUGCGUACCUUUUGUAUAAUGGGUCAGCGACUUAUAUUCUGUAGCAAGGUUAACCGUAUAGGGGAGCCGUAGGGAAACCGAGUCUUAACCGGGCGUUAAGUUGCAGGGUAUAGACCCGAAACCCGGUGAUCUAGCCAUGGGCAGGUUGAAGGUUGGGUAACACUAACUGGAGGACCGAACCGACUAAUGUUGAAAAAUUAGCGGAUGACCUGUGGCUGGGGGUGAAAGGCCAAUCAAACCGGGAGAUAGCUGGUUCUCCCCGAAAGCUAUUUAGGUAGCGCCUCGUGAAUUCAUCUCCGGGGGUAGAGCACUGUUUCGGCUAGGGGGCCAUCCCGGCUUACCAACCCGAUGCAAACUGCGAAUACCGGAGAAUGUUAUCACGGGAGACACACGGCGGGUGCUAACGUCCGUCGUGAAGAGGGAAACAACCCAGACCGCCAGCUAAGGUCCCAAAGUCAUGGUUAAGUGGGAAACGAUGUGGGAAGGCCCAGACAGCCAGGAUGUUGGCUUAGAAGCAGCCAUCAUUUAAAGAAAGCGUAAUAGCUCACUGGUCGAGUCGGCCUGCGCGGAAGAUGUAACGGGGCUAAACCAUGCACCGAAGCUGCGGCAGCGAACGUAUCACUUAAAGCGAUUCAGCGGGUUACGAUUGACGGAGCGAAGCGACGUCAAAGCGUAUACAAAGUCGAGUCGGUUUAAGGAUACGUUCGUUGGGUAGGGGAGCGUUCUGUAAGCCUG